rnacentral:rRNA from 1 species
AACGAACGCUGGCGGCAUGCCUAACACAUGCAAGUCGAACGAGAUCUUCGGGUCUAGUGGCGCACGGGUGCGUAACGCGUGGGAAUCUGCCCUUUGGUUCGGAAUAACAGUUGGAAACGACUGCUAAUACCGGAUGAUGACGAAAGUCCAAAGAUUUAUCGCCAAAGGAUGAGCCCGCGUAGGAUUAGCUAGUUGGUGUGGUAAAGGCGCACCAAGGCGACGAUCUUUAGCUGGUCUGAGAGGAUAAUCAGCCACACGGGGACUGAGACACGGCCCAGACUCCUACGGGAAGCAGCAGUGGGGAAUAUGGGACAAUGGGCGAAAGCCUGAUCCAGCAAUGCCGCGUGAGUGAUGAAGGCCUUAGGGUUGUAAAGCUCUUUUACCCGGGAUGAUAAUGACAGUACCGGGAGAAUAAGCUCCGGCUAACUCCGUGCCAGCCGCCGCCGUAA